rnacentral:rRNA from 1 species
AUACGUAGGGAGCGAGCGUUGUCCGGAUUUACUGGGUGUAAAGGGUGCGUAGGCGGGUUUGCAAGUCAGACGUGAAAUACCGGGGCUUAACUCCGGGGCUGCGUUUGAAACUGUAGAUCUUGAGUGAAGUAGAGGCAAGCGGAAUUCCUAGUGUAGCGGUGAAAUGCGUAGAUAUUAGGAGGAACACCAGUGGCGAAGGCGGCUUGCUGGGCUUUAACUGACGCUGAGGCACGAAAGCGUGGGGAGCAAACAGGAUUAGAUACCCUGGUAGUCCACGCCGUAAACGAUGAUUGCUAGGUGUGGGGGGACUGACCCCCUCCGUGCCGGAGUAAACACAAUAAGCAAUCCACCUGGGGAGUACGACCGCAAGGUUGAAACUCAAAUGAAUUGACGGGG